AACGAACGCUGGCGGCAUGCCUAACACAUGCAAGUCGAACGAGACCUUCGGGUCUAGUUGCGCACGGGUGCGUAACGCGUGGGAACCUGCCCUUAUGUUCGGAAUAACUCCCCGAAAGGGGUGCUAAUACCGGAUAAUUUCUUCGGACCAAAGAUUUAUCGCCGUUGGAUGGGCCCGCGUUGGAUUAGCUAGUUGGUAGGGUAAAAGCCUACCAAGGCGACGAUCCAUAGCUGGUCUGAGAGGAUGAUCAGCCACACUGGGACUGAGACACGGCCCAGACUCCUACGGGAGGCAGCAGUGGGGAAUAUUGGACAAUGGGCGAAAGCCUGAUCCAGCAAUGCCGCGUGAGUGAUGAAGGCCUUAGGGUUGUAAAGCUCUUUUACCCGGGAUGAUAAUGACAGUACCGGGAGAAUAAGCUCCGGCUAACUCCGUG
rnacentral:rRNA from 1 species